GCGGGCGUAGUUCAAUGGUAGAACAUCAGCUUCCCAAGCUGAGAACGCGGGUUCGAUUCCCGUCGCCCGCUCCA
rnacentral:tRNA from 1 species